GGACCGGCUCCUGCGGCGUCUGUGGGGCUGGCUGCGGGUCUCCGCAUCCCGAUGUUGACGAGGUGAGCGGCUUCGAGUCCGGGCCCGCCCUGGCUGCCUGGACCGGCUUCCAGCAGCCGCUGCGGAAGCUCUCGAGGACCUCGGUGUUCCUUGUCCUGUGUGUCUGUGGGUGCCGCUCUCAUCACUAAGGGCUGGUGCCUGCCUGCUCCCACGGUGCCUUUGGGGCUGGCUCGGGGAACCUGUGGCGUGGCGCUGCAGCGGAGAGCGGCUUCUUGUGUGAUCCUGCUGUCCCCGUCUGCGCCGGUGGCUGGAGCCAGCUGCACGGGAGUGCCUCGUGGACCGCGAAGCCUGCUGGCUGGCAGAGUUCGGGGUGCUGCUCUCAACGCUCAGCAGGGCUGCAGCACGGCUGCUCCCGCAGCAUUCUUGGGGCUCGUUCCAUUCAUCGUCAAUGCGAUGUAAACGUGUGCAGACUCUGCGCCAUUUUAUCCUGUGCUGGUUAGGCGGGACGCCGCUCUCAGGCACCUUGGGAACGUGAGCUGGCCCCGAUGGUGCCUGGCUGGUGGUGCUGGAGGUGCUGGAGGUGCUGGAGGUGCUGGAGGUGCUGGUGGUGCUGGUGGUGCUGGUGGUGCUGGAGGUGCUGCUGCUCUCCAAUGUUAUGGGGCCUAUGAGAGGCAGCAGUCCCUGCUGGCUGGCGGUGCUGGGGCCAGCUCUGUCCACACCGCUGCCAGAGGCUGUAAGGGGAGACGGGAAGGUGAGCGGGAUGGGACUCCAGCCCCAGGGUGGGACAGGCUCCCAUCCCUCGUGGGCCAAAGGGACUGGAGCAAGGCCUCGCCUGGCCCCAGCCCAGCAGCACGCGGCUGUUUGCCUCUUACCGGUGCCCUCUCCAGCACAGGCGUUGCACUCCCAGCUGGCUGUGCCCUGACUCAAGAAGGAGCAGCGCCGAUGGGUGCCUUGUGCAGCACAGGAGCUGCAGAGGAGCAGCUGCCAGGGCCUGGGAAACCAACGGGUUGUGGCCGUGAGGACAAAGUGACCUGAGCCAGGGAGUGCCCGGCACAGCUCUGGUGCUCAGUCUGUGCUGCCCCAGCCUGGGGUGAGGCUGCGAUCCCACGCAGAGCCCCAGAAGGCUGUUGAGGUAACUCACCCCUCUCUCUCUGCCUGCUCCCUGCCUUGUGGGUAAAGGCAGCUGCUGGCAUCACAGCGAUGGUGCCGAAUUCGCAGGGAUGCAUAGGCAUUGUUGUCCUCCCAUGUUGGUCUUCUGCCAGAGAAGGGAGGGAAUGUGAUGAGCACUCACCGCCCCAGGACUAAAACUUAUGCAUGGAAUCCCUCCUCAUCUACCCUAACCCCCGUUCCAGCUUCCCAAUGAUGCUGAGGCCCAUGUUAAUGGCUGCAAAGGGCCAGGCCUGCUGGGGCAGCUCCUUCCAAAGGACAGCUUGUGUGCCCUCACAUCUCGAGAGCUGGUUGAAAGACACCAACCUGAAUGGGAUUCGGAUCCCCAUUUUGACCAUGUCUCGAAGAAACCAGUCCCUGUCUCUGCAGAGGGGGCACUGGAAGCAAUAGAUGCCGGCACGCAGGGCCUGUUCCUGCAGCAGAAACACGAGCAGGGUGAGUGUGAGCCGGGCCUGGUGCUGCUGAGCGCCUGCGGUGCCCACGGGAUGAGGGAAGGGGAGGGCUCCUACCUGGAUGCAGGCCCUGUGGAACCAGGCGUGUUGGCAGGAUGGGCACACCAUGGUGCUGUACGACCUGCUGUCCCCCACGGGCUCCAUGCAGAUGAUGCAGAAUCUCUCUGGUUGGCAAAGACCUCUAAGAUCACCAAGUGCCACCGUCCACCCCCGCAGCUGCCCACUGCCCGCGUCCCUCAGUGCCACAUCCCCACGCUUCUGGAACACCUCCAUGGACGCUGACUCCCCCAGAACCAUAGAAUCAUAGAAUUACUCAGGUUGGAAAGGACCUCAAAGAUCAUCAAGUCCAACCGCAUCCGAACCACAGUACCCCAACUCUAACAGCCCUCCGCUACAUCAUCUCUCUGAGCACCACAUCCAAACGGCUCUUAAACACAUGCAGGGAUGGUGACUCAGCCUCCUCCC
ensembl:lncRNA